GGGUGAAUAGUUUUAAUUAAUCUACUAUUUUGCAAAAAUAGUAUUAAGGGAUUUCUCCCUUUUCAUCUU
rnacentral:tRNA from 1 species